rnacentral:miRNA from 2 species
GUUCCUGCUGAACUGAGCCAG